AGCCUUUUGUUAGUCGGAUGAAAAUGAGCGCAGGACGUGCUUUCGCGCAUGCUCAGUGGUACAGGAAACGGGAAGUUACAAGUAGAACCAAAAUCCCGAUACUGUACUCUGUUGUGCAUCAUUUUCGACGUUUUGCCACAUAGGAAAAUCCCCCUUGUAUCCAUAUGUCCCCACUCCAUCUAUAACACAUGCGACAUCAGCUUCCACAGCCAUCACUGAAUUCCAGCGUUGCAGUCGGCUCACUGCCACGAGUGGAUAAAUUUUUCAAAUAAUUUUCACAUUUACAUCAGUUUGGGGGAAAAUGGAUCAAACUAAAGAGCUCUCUGAAUUUCAGCAGGGUACUGUCAUUGGAUGCCACAUUUGCAACAAGCCAGUUGCUGAAAUUUCUUCUCUCCUGAAUAUUACAGAAUCAACUGUAAAUGAUGUUAUUACAAAGUGGAAACAAUCAGGCUUCUCGGCUACUCAGCAAAGAACUGGCAGACGGCGUAAAGGUACAGGGACAGACUAGCAUCGUGCGUAAGUGUAGUCACACUCUGGUACCUCAAUUUAUUGUUGGCUUCCUCUUGUGGCAUUAGCAUCAGUACAAACAUUGCGCUGGGACUUUGGUGGCAUGUUGUCACGGAGGAGCAGCUGUGUACAAGUUCAACAUACUAAAUGAGUUCAUAGCUGUACAACUUACCACACAUUGGUUCAACAAACUUUUCUAUGGCUCACCGUCCUAUGACUCUCCCAUAAAUGCAGGCAAUUCAUUGCAAAUUAAACAUUAUUUGUCUGGGUGUUUAAACCUCCAUUCUGAUGCUGUAAUAAUGUAUCUCUUGAUCUGGGUGGGAUCAGCGAAGUCUUGUAUCUUUAAGCACUCAUGGCCCUGGGAAAAAAAAAUAAAGACUGAAUUAAAAUGAC